CAUGCGCACCACGCCUGAGCCCAAGUGAACCGCGCUCUGGCUCACCUCUUCCAACCGAGCCAGGGCCGGCUAAACGAACCGCGGCGCAGAACGUAACAGGCACACACAC